rnacentral:rRNA from 1 species
AUCGCGGCCGCUGCAGAGUUUGAUCCUGGCUCAGAUUGAACGCUGGCGGAAUGCUUUACACAUGCAAGUCGGGCGGCAGCGCGGGGGCAACCCUGGCGGCGAGCGGCGAACGGGUGAGUAAUACAUCGGAACGUACCCAGUCGUGGGGGAUAGCCCGGCGAAAGCCGGAUUUAAUACCGCAUACGCCCUGAGGGGGAAAGCGGGGGACCGGAAACGGCCUCGCGCGAUUGGAGCGGCCGGAUGGCGGAUUAGCUAGUUGGUGGGGUAAAGGCCUACCAAGGCGACGAUCCGUAGCUGGUCUGAGAGGAUGAUCGCGCCACACUGGGACUGAGACACGGCCCAGACUCCUACGGGAGGCAGCAGUAGGGAAUCUUCCGCAAUGGACGAAAGUCUGACGGAGCAACGACGCGUGAGCAAAGAAAGGCCUUCGGGUCGUAAAGCUC